GUUCUUCUUUUCAUCAGUCAUUUGGCCAUAACAAAACUGCUUCACCUGUAUACCAAGGCCUGUGAUGUGCCUUCUUUAUCCAAGUGGCCUUUACCUACCAAGUACCUGUAUUACCACAUGAUGUGGAAGAUCUUUUGAAACAGCAGGACAAGUCGGUGUUGUCAAGGCAGUAUUAUCGUAAGAUUAUACAAAGUUUAUUUGAAGACAUGAUACAAUUUACUCUUUAUCCAACAACAGCUGAGUAUACUGAGGUAGCCAGAGCUAGUUACCAAAUUUAAGAUCUUAG